UUCUUCGGGGCAGGGUGACCGCAUUGGCGGAAUUCCCGACCGGCGGUAUAGUCCGCGAACUGCUGUGGUCCUCCAUGGCGGCCGAUCCGGUGCGAUUCCGGAACCGACAGUACAGUCUGGAUGAGAGAGGAA
rnacentral:ncRNA from 1 species